rnacentral:rRNA from 1 species
GGGCCCGCACAAGCGGUGGAGUAUGUGGUUUAAUUCGAUGCAACGCGAAGAACCUUACCAGGGUUUGACAUCCUGCGAAUCUCUUGGAAACUUGAGAGUGCCUUCGGGAGCGCAGUGACAGGUGGUGCAUGGCUGUCGUCAGCUCGUGUCGUGAGAUGUUGGGUUAAGUCCCGCAACGAGCGCAACCCACGUCUUUAGUUGCCAGCAUUUAGUUGGGCACUCUAGAGAGACCGCCGGUGAUAAACCGGAGGAAGGUGUGGAUGACGUCAAGUCAUCAUGCCCCUUACAUCCUGGGCUACACACGUACUACAAUGGCGCAUACAGAGGGCAGCAAGCUAGCGAUAGUAAG